AUUGAACGCUGGCGGCAGGCCUAACACAUGCAAGUCGAACGAGUGGCGGACGGGUGAGUAAUGUCUGGGAAACUGCCUGGUGGAGGGGGAUAACUACUGGAAACGGUAGCUAAUACCGCAUACCAUCAGAUGUGCCCAUAUGGGAUUAGCUUGUUGGUGGGGUAACGGCUCACCAAGGCGACGAUCCCUAGCUGGUCUGAGAGGAUGACCAGCCACACUGGAACUGAGACACGGUCCAGACUCCUACGGGAGGCAGCAGUGGGGAAUAUUGGACAAUGGGCGCAAGCCUGAUGCAGCAAUGCCGCGUGUAUGAAGAAGGCCUUCGGGUGGUAAAGUAAUUUCAGCAGGGAAGCGGUACCCACAGAAGAAGCACCGGCUAACUACGUGCCAGCAGCCGCGGUAAUUC
rnacentral:rRNA from 1 species